ensembl:lncRNA
ACUGCAGGGGCGAUGUGUCGCUCAACAAAAUGCCUGUCGCCAUCCAAGGCUGGACGCAGGCAAACGCCAACCGCGUCUGUAAGGAGAACCGCGUCUCUAAGGAGAACCGCGACUCUAAGGAGAACCACGACUGUGGCGAAGCCUUCGAAGGACAUGAGUCCAGUGGAGGAAACGCGCCGGGCAGCGCCGUACAGGUCAGCUGCCUGGGCCCCGAGGAUCGGCUGGGCCAUUGCAUGACCUCCGGGGUGGCGUCCGGCGGCGGCGGCGGCGGCCAAACGGUGUCGGUCUUCUGCAGACAUGCCUUUAAAUUCAACACCACGGAGAAAUGCGGAGGCCGGAUAAAAGUGCAGUACCCAGAGGGGGAAUGGCAGACGAUGUGUCUCCAUGGGACGUUAUACGACAAAGGGAAGGAAGACCUGUGUAAACAGCUGGGUAAAGAAUGUGGCGAUCCAAUCAGCGUCCCCCGAGAGUCACCUCUGAUGGAGGAAGGGGAGCAGGUUGAUCUUAAAAUGAGCUUGAAUUGUACUCAAGAACACACCACCAUCAGUUACUGCGUGAGCAAGGCUUCCUGCAAGGGGUCCAAAGUGGCGGAGAUCUACUGUGAUGGUUACGUGGCCCAGCUCCCCCCCGAGAAGACCAACCUGCAACUCUGGGUGGGCGUUGCCGCGGGAACGGUGGCUCUGCUGCUGACCGUGGGGGUCUUAUUCUUGCUGAGGCGUCACAUCCUCAGGAACUCCAGGUCGCUCCCUGCUGAAGUCCAAUGGAACGACUCGGAAGACGCCUCGCAGUCAUACGAUGACAUUGCUGAGGAGGGCCCCGGCGAGACAUUGUCCCUGAUGAAGGAGGAGGCCCCCGAAGAGGAGACCCCGGAGGACAAUCCAAAGAUUUGUUACAGUGACGUCUUUCCCAGCUCAAAAGCAGCAGACAGCGGUAGCCACGGGGUUGACAUCCUGGAGGAUAACGACGACGUGUUGGAGCCUGGACCCAAGAUCGCGGAGACGGCCGCGGAGACGGCCGCGGAGGCUGACAGCGGGCUUAGAACCCCGCACAGAGAGCUUCCAGAGGUGCCCCCGGACGACAUGGAGGGAGACCAUGAAUAUCUGGAGCAGGAUCCGCUGGGGUGAGACACGCCCACUCCAUUGUAGAGUGAGAGAGAAACGAGGUUGUCUUUCUUGGACGGACGGUUGGAGGAGAAAUGUAUGUUUAAUUGAAAUUUCAAAAUUAUGCUGUUGAAACUCAAGGCUCAUCUUGCUGGAAAGUGGCUUUUUUAAAACUUUUAUAAUAAUUAGAUAUAUUACUAUUAUUAUUAUUACUGUUAUCAACAAUUUAAUGCUAAAGCUUCACUCUUCAGUAAGUUAGUAAUAAUGUGAAUAUUUAACCAAUUUUAACUGUUUUUACUGAUACGCUGUAAUAGGAACUUUACUAAAUAAGUAAUAAAGAAUAAGUAGGAUAAGUUUCCUUUCUCUGUUGGAAUGAGUUACAAUGAGUGGCCUGCCACUGUCCUCAAACUUUCAAACUUGUAUGCCGUCAAAUCGCUUAAAAUACAUAUAGCAAUAUUUUAGCUUUUAACCAAAUAUGUUUAAGCAUGCUUAGCCUUUUUUGCUUUCAAAUGCAGCUAUUAAGCCUUGUAUAACUGUCAAGCAGUGAAGAAAAUGUGGGUUUAGAAACUCAUCAAAAUGACUUUACUCAAAACAAUACUCCUGUUCAAUAUGGCAUGGAUUAAAAUGAUUAAAAUGGAUUCUGUGAUUUCGGUCAUUUGAAGAUUAUCAUUGUCCGUCAGUUAGCCACAUACAUUUUAUUCAUUAAAAAAAAGAAUGCAA